CUCUCCUACUUGGAUAACUGUGGUAAUUCUAGAGCUAAUACAUGCCGACGGGCGCUGACCCCCUUCGCGGGGGGGAUGCGUGCAUUUAUCAGAUCAAAACCAACCCGGUCAGCCCCUCUCCGGCCCCGGCCGGGGGGCGGGCGCCGGCGGCUUUGGUGACUCUAGAUAACCUCGGGCCGAUCGCACGCCCCCCGUGGCGGCGACGACCCAUUCGAACGUCUGCCCUAUCAACUUUCGAUGGUAGUCGCCGUGCCUACCAUGGUGACCACGGGCG
rnacentral:rRNA from 1 species